AAAUGAUGGUUACAAUGGAGCUGAUUUUAAUUCCGAUCCUCUUCUAUUUGAGCUCCUGUUCAGUUAUUAAUGGGGAACUUUCUGUACAAAACAGCUCUACACCCGUGGAUUGUAAGUAUUCUGAUGUGAAGCAAGAACUCGAUGCUGUCAGACAAUUACUAAACCAAGAAACUUUGAUCAGAAUGUCACUUGAGAAGACAUUAAAAGAUUUAAUAAAAAGAGGUGGAGGAAUGGAAGAAGACAAAUGAUUGUGUAAACAAAGCGAUCACCCAGGAUAAUAAAAGUAACGACGAUACAAGAUCAAGUAAGUAAGGAACUCCGACUUAUGUGAGAUGGGGUAGAAGUACCUGCAGCAGUGGAUCAAAUUUAGUUUAUGCUGGUCAAGCAGGUGGAACAAUUCACAAUGCAAAGGGAGGGGCUGCCAACCCUUUAUGUCUAACAUUUGAUGUGUUGUGGGGAAACCGAACAAAAGCCUCAGAAUCUUCCAAUUUACAUGGUGCUGAGUAUGAAACCAACUUUUGGGGACCAAACUUUGAUGACACAGAUGUCCCUUGCGCAGUCUGUCAACUAAAAACACGCACACACGUUCUCAUGAUUCCAGGGCGAAAUCAAUGUCUAAAAGGCUGGACAGAAGAGUAUCAUGGAUAUUUAUCAUCGGAAAGUCAUUCCAGCAACAGAUUAAGGGGAUUUUAUACAUGCGUUGAUGAGAACGCUGAGCAGGUUAUAGGAGGGGGUGCAAGAAAUGAUAAUGGUCACCUGUUUUACAGUGUGUUAGCCAAAUGUGGGAGUUUGAAAUGUCCUCCGUACAUUGAUAAUAAACCAAUUACAUGUGUUGUCUGUUCACAGUAAUUCAAACCAUUACUGUAAGUCCAACAUUAGGUAACCAAUAGUCAAAUUCAUAAUAAGACGUCUUUUUCAUUGCUCCAUACACUGUCAUUUACAAUAUAUUGUAGAGUUCUUACUUCAUUUUAAUAAAAAUUUGCAAAUCUA